rnacentral:rRNA from 1 species
CGAACGCUGGCGGCGUGCUUAACACAUGCAAGUCGAACGCGAGAGGGACUUCGGUCCUGAGUAAAGUGGCGCACGGGUGAGUAACGCGUAGAUAACCUGUCUUCAUGUCUGGAAUAAUACGCCGAAAGGGGUACUAAUACCGGAUAUUCUUGCUUUUCAUAAGUUAUGCAAGCAAAGGUGGCCUCUGCAUAUGCUACUGCAUGAAGAGGGGUCUGCGUACCAUUAGCUAGUAGGUGGGGUAAUGGCCUACCUAGGCGACGAUGGUUAGCGGGUCUGAGAGGAUGAUCCGCCACACUGGCACUGGAACACGGGCCAGACUCCUACGGGAGGCAGCAGUGAGGAAUAUUGCGCAAUGGGGGAAACCCUGACGCAGCGACGCCGCGUGAGUGAAGGAAGGCCUUCGGGUCGUAAAGCUCUGUCAAGAGGAAAGGAGUGUACAAUGGCUAAUACCUGUUGUAUUUGACGGUACCUCUAAAGGAAGCACCGGCUAACUCCGUGCCAGCCGCAGC